AUUGAACGCUGGCGGCAUGCCUUACACAUGCAAGUCGAACGGUAACAGGUCUUCGGAUGCUGACGAGUGGCGAACGGGUGAGUAAUACAUCGGAACGUGCCUAGUAGUGGGGGAUAACUACUCGGAAGAGUGGCUAAUACCGCGUGAGAUCUACGGAUGAAAGCAGGGGAUCGCAAGACCUUGUGCUACUAGAGCGGCCGGUGGCAGAUUAGGUAGUUGGUGGGAUAAAAGCUUACCAAGCCGACGAUUUUUAGCUGGUCUGAGAGGACGAGCAGCCACACUGGGACUGAAACACGGCACAGACUCCUACGGGAGGCAGCAGUGGGGAAUUUUGGACAAUGGGCGAAAGCCUGAUUCAGCAAUGCCGCGUGCAGGAUGAAGGCCUUCGGGUUGUAAACUGCUUUUGUACGGAACGAAAAGCCCCGGGUUAAUACCCUGGGGUCAUGACGGUACCGUAAGAAUAAGCACCGGCUAACUACGUGCCAGCCGCCGCGGUAA
rnacentral:rRNA from 1 species